GGAAUGAAACCUGGCCAAAGUGAAAUCUUCGACUCAAGACAACAUUCUGCUCAGAUUAGAAUGUUUCAGAGGUUGGCAUUUGGUAGUCAGAACUAUAGUGCAGAUUUUUUUGAUAACAAUCAAAGUAGCUGGAGGAGUUGGGAGCAUAGCCAGAGUAACUUCAUACCAUAAGUGCAUCUCAGUACAGAAUUGAUAUGAGUUCAAGUCUUCCAUGGCAAACAAUUAUCUUAAAUUUCUGAUCUAUAAAAUGGAAUUUGAUAGCAGCUAAUUUCUGAAGGGUUACAGGCUCAAUCCUGGAUUUUGAGACCCCUUGACAAUUUUGUUCAUCUUGGAGCCAGGUCAUACCAAGUCCAGUCUCCCUCCAACCCCUCCUUCUCGGC
rnacentral:misc_RNA from 1 species